UACAGAGGUCUCAACCGUUGUUCGGAUUCAUUGGGCGUAAAGGGUGCGUAGGCGGUCGUGCAAGCCGGAUGUGAAAUCUCAGGGCUCAACCCUGAAACUGCAUUCGAUACUGCGUGGCUAGAGUGCUGGAGAGGAGACUGGAAUUUACGGUGUAGCAGUGAAAUGCGUAGAUAUCGUAAGGAAGACCAGUGGCGAAGGCGAGUCUCUGGACAGCAACUGACGCUGAGGCACGAAGGCCAGGGGAGCAAACGGG
rnacentral:rRNA from 1 species